rnacentral:rRNA from 1 species
CAGUUCUGGCCAUCCCUGAACAUCUCCGAGAAAGAAGCGUUCCCUUCGGAGACAAGGUGACAGGUGGUGCAUGGUGGUCGUCAGCUCGUGUCGUGAGAUGUGUGGGUUAAUGUCCCGCAACGAGCGCAACCCUUAUUGUUAGUUGCCAGCAUUCAGUUGGGCACUCUAGGGAGACUGCCGGUGACAAACCGGAGGAAGGUGGGGAUGACGUCAAAUCAUCAUGCCCCUUAUGACCUGGGCUACACACGUGCUACAAUGGCGUAUACAACGAGUUGCCAACCCGCGAGGGCGAGCUAAUCUCUUAAAGUACGUCUCAGUUCGGAUUGUAGUCUGCAACUCGCCUACAUGAAGUCGGAAUCGCUAGUAAUCGGAUCAGCACGCCGCGGUGAAUACGUU